UUCAGGAUGGCCGAGUGGUUAUGGCAUCGGACUUCUGAUCCGAGUUUUUAGGCAGGUUCGAUUCCGGUUCCUGAAC